rnacentral:lncRNA from 1 species
UAGAAGCAGAGCACGAAGGUGAGGAACACCGCCGCCACGGCCGCCAGCAUCGUCGUCGCCGCCGCGACCGUCGUGGCCGUCACCGCCAUCGACGAUCGAUCGAUCGACCGACCAAUCAACCUCACGGCCUGCCCUGCCUUCCUUCCCCUUCCUCUGCCUUGGCUUCAAAGAACCUUGAAUUAUGCUCCUCCCUUACGCGAUCAGGAUCCUCUGCUGCUGGUGUACCCGUCUCCCCUGCUGCUGCAGCCGCGGGCUCCUCGGCGUCCCUGCCGCGAGGCUCUUUGAUGGCAUAAAUGUUAAAGCGCUCGGAGCGUUGGGGAUUUCGAAUGAUUAGCGCGCUACUUAUACGAGGGCGGCGCGGGAUUGGGGAGGAGGAUAAGACCCGGGCGAGAGAGGAAGGCUGGUCUGGCUUCGGUUUGGAGGGGAAGGUGAGCGAACCGUGGAGGCUGCGGCGCGGGCUAUGGCCCUGGAGGGAAAGCGAGGACGGCGACGGUUUUGAAAGCGUUGACGCGGUGCAAGUGGAGCUGUGGAAUGGAACCAGGCCUCCGCCUCUCCGGUUGGACCUCCCUCCCACGGCCGUCGCCGUCUAAUCCCCCGGCGAUGGCGCCGCCGAUGUUCUGUUCCGAUUCGCGCCGCUGCACGGUUGCACCGGAUGCAACGGCCCGGUGAGCCGCGACACCGACC